UUCUACUGCCUAUGAGGUGUUCCCCAGGGGUCCUGGGAAGCCCAGGGGCUGGAAUUCCUUUAUGGGUCGGUAGUUCGAGUUGCUUCAAUUAAGCCAGAUGAAGGUCUCUCAGAUGUAUCCACCUGGUUUCUCCACCCACACAAGGGAGAGUAGAGGCCACAAAGGUUAAAGCUGCACCUCCUACGCAGCUUCCCCGAGGUUCCUGAGGCCUUCCCUGCAAAGCUAUGCUGAGUGGAUUCUCCCAGGGUGAUGGGGUAGGAGGGAGAGGCCAUGACCAUUAGUCAAGAGCCACAGAAUCUUCCCUUGAUAAUCACCGAAGUUGCUAAACCAAAAAUUGACCUACACUUAUGGCGUCUACGGGCCCAAAGAGUUAAGACCAGAAAGACCCAGAACUCUGGCCUGUGAGUGGGCGAAGACCCAGACUUGGACUAGAUCCAUCGAUGAGGGUUGAAGGGCUUCAGUGGGGAUGGCAGAGCCCGGGGUGGUCACUUUAUCUGCAGCUGUCUUUGCUGGAGGACUAGAUUUCACUCCCUAUCUCUGCUGGAGAUCUCUCGAGCACCCAUUGCACCCUGGUGCGGAACGGCCUGCUUGUGAGCUUUGAGGCCCAGCCAACCACGAGACAAGAAAAGACACAGCCCAACUUCAAAGGGCUGCAGAAGACCAGGGCAGUCGAGCAGAGCCUGGUGACCCCACAGUGAAUCUGGCUGCAUCAGGAUCAAACCAGCGUAAGGCAGGAUGGGGCCCUGCCCUGCAGGCUUGAGGGGCACCUAAAAUGUCAAUGGAGAUUUGAUAGGAAUUUUCCAUGCAGCCUCAUCUUUCAGAACAACCUCUGGGGUUUUUUGGAGGAGUCCAAGGGAUAAAAGUCCUUUUGGAGAAAAACAGCCCUUAAAAAAUGCACCCUCAAAAACAGACACAUGGGCCUUCCCUGGUGGCGCAGUGGUUACGAAUCUGCCUGUCAAUGCAGGGGACACGGGUUCGAGCCCUGGUCCAGGAAGAUCCCACAUGCCGCGGAGCAACUAAGCCUGUGCGCCACAACUACUGAGCCUGCGCUCUAGAGCCCGCGAGCCACAACUACUGAGCCCGCGUGCCACAACUACUGAAGGCUGUGCGCCUAGAGCCCAUGCUCCACAAUAAGAGAAGCCACUGCAAUGAGAAGCCUGCACACCGCGACGAAGAGUAGCCCCCACUCACCACAACUAGAGAAAGCCCGCGCGCAGCAACGAAGACCCAACACAGCCAAAACAAACAAAAAAAACAAAACAGACA